GACGAACGCUAGCGGCGUGCUUAACACAUGCAAGUCGAACGGAAAGGCCCUGCUUUUGUUGGGUGCUCGAGUGGCGAACGGGUGCGUAACACGUGAGUACCCUUCCCUUGACUUUAGGAUAACUUCAUGAACCUGGGGCUAAUACCGGAUAGGAGCUCCUCCUGCAUGGUGGGGGUUGGAAAGUGUCGGCGGUUGGGGAUGGACUCGCGGCUUAUCAGCUUGUUGGUGGGGUAGUGGCUUACCAAGGCUUUGACGGGUAGCCGGCCUGAGAGGGGGACCGGCCACAUGGGGACUGAGAUACGGCACAGACUACUACGGGAGGCAGCAGUGGGGAAUAUUGCACGAUGGGCGGAAGCCGGAUGCAGCAACGCCGCGUGAGGGAUGACGGCCUUCGGGUUGUAAACCGCUUUCGCCUGUGACGAAGCGUGAGUGAAGGUAAUGUGUAAAGAAGCACCGGCUAACUACGUG
rnacentral:rRNA from 1 species